CGGACGGGUGAGUAAUGCUUGGGAAUCUGGCUUAUGGAGGGGGAUAACUACGGGAAACUGUAGCUAAUACCGCGUAAUAUCUUCGGAUUAAAGGGUGGGACUUUCGGGCCACCUGCCAUAAGAUGAGCCCAAGUGGGAUUAGGUAGUUGGUGGGGUAAAGGCCUACCAAGCCGACGAUCUCUAGCUGGUCUGAGAGGAUGACCAGCCACACUGGAACUGAGACACGGUCCAGACUCCUACGGGAGGCAGCAGUGGGGAAUAUUGCACAAUGGGGGGAACCCUGAUGCAGCCAUGCCGCGUGAAUGAAGAAGGCCUUCGGGUUGUAAAGUUCUUUCGGUGAUGAAGAAGGUGUUUGUUUUAAUAGAACAAGCAAUUGACGUUAGUCACAGAAGGAGCACCGGCUAACUCCGUGCCAGCAGCCGCGGUAAUACGGAGGGUGCGAGCGUUAAUCGGAAUGACUGGGCGUAAAGGGCACGCACGCGGUGACUUAAGUGAGAUGUGAAAGCCCCGAGCUUAACUUGGGAAUUGCAUUUCAUACUGGGUUGCUAGAGUAUUUUA
rnacentral:rRNA from 1 species